rnacentral:misc_RNA from 1 species
UAACAGGGAGACCUACUUCUACUAGAGACCGAACCCAUAAAUUUAUUAGGUCCUUUGAGAAGUCAUCCCUAGGUCGUUCGAGAUUGGCUGUUGGCUUUCAAACUAUUACCCUUGUUCGGUACCUUCGCUCUUAACAACCAAGUAUUGUUCGGUUUCUAACACUCAACAAACUUAAUGGCUUGUUAAACUAGGAAGGUAUGGGAAUGAGACAUUGUCAGAGGCAAUAAACCCAAAGCUUUAAACUCAAUUGGAUAUACUUUUUCAGCAAUCUUGUUCACCAAAGCAAGACUGCUGGGCGAGAGUCCAGACGGAACCUUGAAAAUUGCAUAGCAACUUGUCAAAUGCGAAUUUGAUUGCACUAUAUAUCAGUACAAAACUGGUAUUUAAAUGCAUCAAACGCAGGUAGACACCAAUGUUUAAAAGU